rnacentral:lncRNA from 1 species
GCCAAUGAUUGAGAUAAAGUAAAAACACAAGAUGGAUGGGAACAAGCUAUCAUGCUGGAGUUUCGAAAACCAAGGAAUGGACACCAUCUCCGAACAAGAAAUCAUACUGCAUAUGGCAACAUGACAUCUGUUGCCCACAAAUCCCAUCCACCACUAUCACUGUUAAGGGCUCAUGCGAGUGGCCAUGGGGAAGUAUUAAUGAAGGAGCGAUGGGACUAUGGUCUACCUUAGCCAACCUCUCAAUGGCCGAACCCCUCCCAUCUCUAGUUACCCCAU